rnacentral:misc_RNA from 1 species
GAAAUGCGAUAAGUAGUGUGAAUUGCAGAAUUCAGUGAAUCAUCGAAUCUUUGAACGCACAUUGCGCCCCUUGGUAUUCCAUGGGGCAUGCCUGUUCGAGCGUCAUUUGUACCCUCAAGCUCUGCUUGGUGUUGGGUGUUUGUCCCGUCUCCGCGCGUGGACUCACCCGAAAGUGAUUGGCAGCCGGCGUACUGGUCCCGGAGCGCAGCACAUGUCGCGCAAACGAGUGCCUUGGUACGGCGGCGUCCAUAAGCCCCUCUCUCACGCUCUUGACCUCGGAUCAGGUAGGGAUACCCGCUGAACUUAAGC